CCUGAGAUCGGACGAGAUCACCCGCUGAAUUUAAGCAUAUUACUAAGCGGAGGAAAAGAAACUAACAAGGAUUCCCUCAG
rnacentral:rRNA from 4 species